UUUCGGAAAACAAUCUUGUUGGACCAAUUCCUCAUGGGAAUCAAUUUGAUACCUUUGAUAAUGAUUCCUAUAGCAAUAACUUGGGAUUGUGUGGAUUGCCAUUGUCCAAGCAAUGUAUCAACCAUGAGGGGGGCAAACCCCCUUCACCAUUGGUGGUGGAACAUGAUGGCUCUAAAAUACCCUUCUUUUGGCAAGUUGUAAUGAUGGGGUAUGGAAGUGGAGUGGUGUUAGGAUUUAGCUUGGGUUACAUUGUACUCACAACCAGAAGACCAUGGUGGUUCGUUAGAAUGGUGGAGAGAGAUUGGCAGUACAAUUUCACAAGGUGGGUACGAAGAAAGAGAGGAAGAAGAAAUUAACUCUGCAUCCAACAUCUUGCUUAGUGGCAUUUGAACUCUGAGAUUGAAUUGGAUGGGAAAAUUCAUCAUGUUCAGCUUCCUUGAGAGCGAUUAGAAUAAAUAAGUGGGGUUGUUAAUUUAGCAAAUGAUAUGAGUGUAUUUGUAUUCAUUAUAAUUUCUAAAUUUGUAUUCAUGUGUGUUGUGUAGUAAUGUUUUAAGUAUUGCAUAAACUUAAGCUGUUAAACAAAUA